rnacentral:rRNA from 1 species
UACGUAGGAGGCAAGCGUUGUCCGGAAUUACUGGGCGUAAAGCGCGUGUAGGUGGUGGGACAAGUCUGCUGUGAAAGCGCCUGGCUUAACCGGGCGAGGUCGGCGGAAACUGUCACACUUGAGGACGGUAGAGGGGGGUGGAAUUCCCGGUGUAGUGGUGAAAUGCGUAGAGAUCGGGAGGAACACCUGUGGCGAAGGCGGGACUCUGGGCCGAUACUGACGCUGAGGAGCGAAAGCGUGGGGAGCGAACAGG